GACGAACGCUGGCGGCGUGCCUAAUACAUGCAAGUCGAGCGAAUCUUUAGAAGCUUGCUUCUGAAGAUUAGCGGCGGACGGGUGAGUAACACGUGGGCAACCUGCCUGUAAGACUGGGAUAACUUCGGGAAACCGGAGCUAAUACCGGAUAAUCCAUUCCCUCACAUGAGGGAAUGCUGAAAGACGGCAUCACGCUGUCACUUACAGAUGGGCCCGCGGCGCAUUAGCUAGUUGGUGAGGAAACGGCUCACCAAGGCGACGAUGCGUAGCCGACCUGAGAGGGUGAUCGGCCACACUGGGACUGAGACACGGCCCAGACUCCUACGGGAGGCAGCAGUAGGGAAUCUUCCGCAAUGGACGAAAGUCUGACGGAGCAACGCCGCGUGAGCGAAGAAGGCCUUCGGGUCGUAAAGCUCUGUUGUUAGGGAAGAACAAGUACCGGAGUAACUGCCGGUACCUUGACGGUACCUAACCAGAAAGCCACGGCUAACUACGUGCCAGCCGCCGCGGUAACAC
rnacentral:rRNA from 1 species